rfam:Methanosarcina barkeri str. Fusaro, complete genome.
GGGCUCGUAGGGUAGCCAGGAUAUCCUAAUGGGCUUCGAAGUAAGAUAAUUACGAAGAUACCCAUUGACUCGUGUUCGAAUCGCGGCGGGCCCG